UUAAGUUCAGCGGGUAUUCCUACCUGAUUCGAGGUCAACAAUUAAAAAAGGGGGGUUUUCCGGCUGGACAACGUCCCACGCCCAAAACGAAAUAUAACUACUACGUUCGGUUGUGUUACGCCGCCGCCGCUCGCUUUGGGAGGCUGCAGUGCAGUCCUCCAACGCCAGGCAGGGCCUGAGGGUUGAAAUGACGCUCGAAC
rnacentral:misc_RNA from 1 species